rnacentral:rRNA from 1 species
GGACUACCGGGGUAUCUAAUCCUGUUUGCUCCCCUAGCUUUCGUCCCUCAGCGUCAGUCACGGUCCAGCGAGCCGCCUUCGCCACGGGUGUUCCUGCAGAUAUCUACGCAUUUCACCGCUACACCUGCAAUUCCGCUCGCCUCUCCCGCACUCGAGCACGGCAGUUUCGGAGGCAGCCUCUGAGUUAAGCCCAGAGAUUUCACCCCCGACUUGCCGCACCGCCUACGGACCCUUUACGCCCAGUAAUUCCGAGCAACGCUGGCCCCCUACGUCUUACCGCGGCUGCUGGCAC